GAUGAACGCUAGCGGCAGGCCUAACACAUGCAAGUCGGGGGGCAGCACAUAAAGUGGUUUACUACUUUUGGUGGCGACCGGCGGACGGGUGCGUAACGCGUAUGCAACCUGCCUCCAACAGGGGAAUAACGGAGAGAAAUUUCCACUAAUACCCCAUAAUAUCAGAAUCGGCAUCGGUUUUGGUUGAAAACUCCGGUGGUUGGAGAUGGGCAUGCGUUGUAUUAGAUAGUUGGUGAGGUAACGGCUCACCAAGUCAACGAUACAUAGGGGGACUGAGAGGUUAGCCCCCCACACUGGUACUGAGACACGGACCAGACACCUACGGGAGGCAGCAGUGAGGAAUAUUGGUCAAUGGGGGCAACCCUGAACCAGCCAUGCCGCGUGCAGGAAGACGGCUCUAUGAGUUGUAAACUGCUAUUACAGGGGAUAAAUCGGUGUACGUGUACACCGUUGAAGGUACCUUGGGAAUAAGGAUCGGCUAACUCCGUGCCAGCCGCCGCGGUAA
rnacentral:rRNA from 1 species